UGAGCCAAGAGUUCCUAGCCUUUCCUUCUGUAUGAAGAAAUGACGUCUGGUCUUGUAUUCACUACCCAGCUAGACUGGUGGAGGAGAGUGCUCUAAGAACCAGGAAGACUAUGGCAGGAGCCUUGAAUCAGCGUGGUGCCACAGAAUGCAUCUGCUCAGUUGCCACCAAUCAGUAUUCUGGCAGCCAUUCAGUUCUGGUUGCAAAUACAGGAGUCAAAUUUGGAGCACAAAGAAUCUUCAGACCAACAGAAAAGCCAAGCAAGCAUUCUCUACAGCUACUGCUGGCAAGCCUGUUUGCACAGCGG